AUUUUUCAGUCCAUUCCCAACAUUGUUUGAUAUUCUGCGGUGCUUGGGCAAUUGGCUGGUUAACAGCAGUUCCCUCUCUGGCCAAUCAGAUUGAAGCACCAUGGUAGAUUCAGCUAUUAGAAGCACAGCCUUCAGUUCUUCCUACAGAGAGCAGAAAGAAGGCUGAAUGCAGGCGCAGCCAUUUUCUCCUACAUUGGGACUCAAUGGCCAAAAUGGGUUUCCUUUGUUCCAAAAGGGAUCUAAAUCUUGGUUUCAUCAGCCUUUUAUGGACUAUUUAAUACAUACAGUGUUUCUGUUUACAGGAUCUGAGAAGAAGGAAGAUGAAAUGUUGGAUGGUAUCCCUUUGACAUUUUUAAGCUUUUUUUCUCUUCCUGGAAACCAUCUUUGUCCCAGCAAACUAGGUCAUGGCACACCCAUAUAACAGCAUUUUAUUCUUUAGUAAAAUGCUACUGAAUAAACAUUUUGCAUUUGGUUUUAUUAUUACUAACUAGAAUGUAAAAAGAAAAAAGAAACCCAUGAAAAUAACCAACUGCUUUUAAGGCCCUGCCUUGUUCAGGGCCAAGCAUUAAUCAAUAACAAACAAGGCAGGCCACAGAGAAAAAAAGGACGAUUGGCCUUUUACAAAAAUGCUGAAUCACAGAAAUUGGUGGACUUCACUUCUCUUUCAUGGCGUGCAGAUUGGGAAUAGUGUAUUUCUGAUUUUACAAUGCAAUGGAAAUCCCUUUGUCAAUUAACAUUUUCAGUAAGUGAACACUCACUAUAUAUCUGACCUUGUGCCAAGGGCACAUUUCAUAACACUAUUAGUCUCAUAACAGUGUAUAGUUCACUAGUAGAGAUAAUGUAUAAAUAAGACUUUAAACACACAUAAUUAUUAAUGCACUAACAAAGAUAUUUACCUUAACAUUUUGUUGAAAUAAUUCUAUCAGGCCUAUACGAUGAAGAAACAGGAACGUUUUCAUUCCCAUCGUCUGAUCCUUUAACACUGGCUUUAAAGAGGGGGUUGGGUUGCAACGCCUAAAAGGAAGAAAACGACAAUAACCAUUUUUCCUGCCUUCGUUUUUCGACAUAAUUCAUCAUUUAACACACCAAUCUGCGCAGUCUCCAACGAGUGGAGCUGCUGGAAAUCUUGAGACACUUUUAGAUAUUGCAAUAUGCAAACAAUCCCUCUUUCUCUUCCUGAAGACAGAAUGACAAGAGAAAUUCACUCGCUUGCACGUCAUCAUUCAGAAGAAAGAAAAUGUCCUUUUUCUUUCCGAAGGUAAUAGUUUAUGCGACCUUAUUUGACAAAAAUGACUUGGGAAUACUCUGUUUUAAAAGGUAACAUUAAAUCAUAUUUAUGUUUCAAACUCAUUUGAAAAAUUACGAGUAUUGUUGUCCUGUGGGGAUAAUUGUGAGAGAAAAAAAGGUGUAAAAAUCAUUAUUUUAGACACCUCUCAUUGCUGACCCAUGUCCAAAGCGACCUCAGAACUAGCCUGCUGUUUAAUGGCUUCUCUGCUGUUUUCAUUUUCAACAUGGCGUCUUCACAAGGACAUCAUUGUGGAAAAGAAAGGUUGCUGCGCCAUUUAUGGGCGAGGCUGUCGGUCGCCGUUUCAGCUGAUUCUGCCUUUAUACGUGGCAACCAUUGCAAACACAAACUGACUAAAUGUGGUCAGAGAGGCUUGCUGUUUCAAAAGCGAGGAUAUUGCACAAAACUCGCAGUAAUAUCUCGUGCGUAAAAGGCGCCCUCGACGCUGCUGCGCAAGGCGCUGGAAACCCUGUGGCACAAAAACACACACACAGCGGUAAUCUGAGAGUUUGGACGCAUGCCACGGGUCCGGGAUGUGACUGCACCCACCUAACCAUUUAAAGUCGGAGAAAGAAUCUCAAACACUGUGUGGCAUUUCAAUCAGCAAGUACAAAGGGAAUAUCCAGUCCUCUGUGCUCUCUCGUCCCCCUUUCAGAACAUUCGGUGCAGUUUAUUCGCCAGCCAUUCAGAGGAUCAUUUGACGUGAUGCAUUGCAGGAUUGCGCACUACUUAGGUUUCUCAGAUCUUCUGGUGAAUAUAUCACAGUGUUGCAACACAUACCGUCUAAAAUAGGACUGGUGACCGAAUAUGCCAGAAAAAGGACUGAAGAAGACGUGAUGAUGACCACAUUGUUUCCUGCCACCCAGGGCUGAAGUGGGUCAUGAGGCCAUUUUAUGGCACUCGUGUGUUUAAUUAGGAAAAUCCUCUUUAUCUUAGUAACCCGCGAACGCAAGCUGUUUCUAAAGGCAGUAAAGAACUACAGAGAUCUCAGACGAUACCAGUUUAUAUAAAUAUUUAUUUUUGUUACUCGAUAUGCAGACGUGUGCGAAAGGCUCCAUUUGUGCUCUGGACAGCUGGAUUGGAUCCUCGAUACAUUUCGACAUUCAACUUCGCCAUUAAUGAUAUAAGCUAUUUUAGCUUUUAUUUAGGAUAGGGUAUUCUGUAAAAGUUGAUUCUUGGGAAUCUCUUAUUUGAAAUAAUUUGUAUUUUUUAUAUUUCUUGUGGAGACUAGCCUAUGAGACGUCUGAAAUCAAAAUUAGGCUACACAGGAUUUUUGAUGGCAGUAAUAUGUAAAUUUUCUUUUUAAUGUUCAUUUUAAAAUCUUAAAUCCGCUUGAAAUCGGAGGAAACGUUAAACAGAACCAAAUGCAAUUCG